UAGGGAAUCUUCGGCAAUGGGGGGAACCCUGACCGAGCAACGCCGCGUGUGUGAAGAAGGUUUUCGGAUCGUAAAGCUCUGUUGUUAAGGAAGAACGAGUGUGAGAAUGGAAAGUUCAUGCUGUGACGGUACUUAACCAGAAAGGGACGGCUAACUACGUGCCAGCAGCCGCGGUAAUACGUAGGUCCCGAGCGUUGUCCGGAUUUAUUGGGCGUAAAGCGAGCGCAGGCGGUUAGAGAAGUCUGAAGUGAAAGGCAGUGGCUCAACCAUUGUAGGCUUUGGAAAGUGUUUAAAUGGAGUGCAGAAGGGGAGAGUGAAUUUACAUGUAUAGCGGUGAAAUGCGUAGAUAUAUGGAGGAACACCGGUGGCGAAAGCGGCUCUCUGGUCUGUAUCUCACGCUGGGACUAGAGAGCGUGGGGAGAGAACAGG
rnacentral:rRNA from 1 species